AAGUCGUAACAAGGUUUCCGUAGGUGAACCUGCGGAAGGAUCAUUAAUGAAAUGAUGUUUUUUGGGGUUUUCCCUGAAAAAUAAUUCACCCUUUGUGCAUUGUUAUUAGAUAUACUUUGGUUAGAGCUUUGAUUUUAUUUAUUGGAAUCAACUUCUUGCUGACUCUAUCCUUUCUGAGGACAGUUGGCUAUGAAGCGGCCUACCAAGGUUUUUUUUUAUCAAACUCUUGUAUUUUGUCUGACCUAAACUAUUAUAAUUAAAUCAUAACUUUCAACAACGGAUCUCUUGGCUCUC
rnacentral:misc_RNA from 1 species